rnacentral:rRNA from 1 species
GUGAGGAAUUUUCCGCAAUGGGCGAAAGCCUGACGGAGCAAUGCCGCGUGAAGGAUGAAGGCCUAUGGGUUGUAAACUUCUUUUCUCAGAAAAGAAUUAUGACGGUAUCUGAGGAAUAAGCAUCGGCUAACUCUGUGCCAGCAGCCGCGGUAAGACAGAGGAUGCAAGCGUUAUCCGGAAUGAUUGGGCGUAAAGCGUCUGUAGGUUGUUUAAAAAGUAUUCUGUCAAAGAUUAGGGCUUAACCCUAGAUAGGCAGAAUAAACUUUUAAGCUAGAGUUUGGUAGAGGCAGAUGGAAUUCCCGGUGGAGCGGUGAAAUGCGUAGAUAUCGGGAGGAACACCAAAGGCGAAGGCACUCUGCUGGGCCAAUACUAACACUGAGAGACGAAAGCGAGGGGAGCAAAUGGGAUUAGAAACCCCUGUAGUCC